rnacentral:tRNA from 1 species
CGUGAGGUAGCUCAAGAGGUAGAGCGCAUGAAAAACAUGAUGUUGUAGGUUCGAAUCCUACCCUCACGA